rnacentral:rRNA from 1 species
UGUAUUUAUUAGAUAAAAAACCAAUGCCCUUCGGGGCUUUUUGGUGAUUCAUGAUAACUUUACGGAUCGCAUAGCCUUGCGCUGGCGACGGUUCAUUCAAAUUUCUGCCCUAUCAACUUUCGAUGGUAAGGUAUUGGCUUACCAUGGUUUCAACGGGUAACGGGGAAUUAGGGUUCGAUUCCGGAGAGGGAGCCUGAGAAACGGCUACCACAUCCAAGGAAGGCAGCAGGCGCGCAAAUUACCCAAUCCCGACACGGGGAGGUAGUGACAAUAAAUACUGAUACAGGGCUCUUUUGGGUCUUGUAAUUGGAAUGAGUACAAUUUAAACCUCUUAACGAGGAACAAUUGGAGGGCAAGUCUGGUGCCAGCAGCCGCGGUAAUUCCAGCUCCAAUAGCGUAUAUUAAAGUUGUUGCAGUUAAAAAGCUCGUAGUUGAAACUUGGGCCUGGCUGGCGGGUCCGCCUCACCGCGUGCACUCGUCCGGCCGGGCCUUCCUUCUGAAGAACCUCAUGCCCCUCACUGGGCGUGCUGGGGAACCAGG